GCCGGGCGCGGUGGCGUACGCCUGUAGUCCCAGCUACUCGGGAGGCUGAGGCAGGAGGAUCGCUUGAGCCCAGGAGUUCUGGGCUGUAGUGCGCUAUGCCGAUCGGGUGUCCGCACUAAGUUCGGCAUCAAUAUGGUGACCUCCCGGGAGCGGGGGACCACCAGGUUGCCUAAGGAGGGGUGAACCGGCCCAGGUCGGAAACGGAGCAGGUCAAAAAAUUUACUUCAUUCUAAAAGUCAUAACAAAACUGUAAUAUCAUCAUUAAUAACAUCUGAUAAAAAGCAAGUAUUUUCA
rnacentral:SRP_RNA from 1 species